rnacentral:rRNA from 1 species
CCUACGGGAGGCAGCAGUGAGGAAUAUUGGUCAAUGGACGAGAGUCUGAACCAGCCAAGUAGCGUGAAGGAUGACUGCCCUAUGGGUUGUAAACUUCUUUUAUAAAGGAAUAAAACGAGGCACGUGUGCCUUUUUGCAUGUACUUUAUGAAUAAGGAUCGGCUACCUCCGUGCCAGCAGCCGCGGUAAUACGGAGGAUCCGAGCGUUAUCCGGAUUUAUUGGGUUUAAAGGGAGCGUAGAUGGGUUGUUAAGUCAGUUGUGAAAGUUUGCGGCUCAACCGUAAAAUUGCAAUUGAUACUGGCAGUCGUGAGUACAGUUGAGGUAGGCGGAAUUCGUGGUGUAGCGGUGAAAUGCUUAGAUAUCACGAAGAACCCCGAUUGCGAAGGCAGCUUACUAAACUGUGACUGACAUUGAUGCUCGAAAGUGUGGGUAUCAAACAGGAUUAGAUACCCCGGUAGUC